UUGAUCCUGGCUCAGGAUGAACGCUAGCGGCAGGCCUAACACCUGCAAGUCGAGGGGCAGCGGGGGUAGCAAUACCUGUGGCGACCGGCGCACGGGUGAGUAACGCGUAUGCAACCUACCUGUAACAGAGGGAUAGCCCAUAGAAAUGUGGAUUAAUAUCUCAUAGUUCUAUUAGAUCGCAUGAUUUGAUAGAUAAAGCUCCGGCGGUUACAGAUGGGCAUGCAUCCCAUUAGAUAGUUGGUAAGGUAACGGCUUACCAAGGCUACGAUGUCUAGGGGUUCUGAGAGGAUGAUCCCCCACACUGGUACUGAGACACGGACCAGACUCCUACGGGAGGCAGCAGUGAGGAAUAUUGGUCAAUGGGCGGAAGCCUGAACCAGCCAUCCCGCGUGCAGGAUGACGGCCCUAUGGGUUGUAAACUGCUUUUAUACACCAAGAAACCUUCUGACGUGUCAGAAGCUGACGGUACUGUACGAAUAAGCAUCGGCUAACUCCGUGCCAGCAGCCGCGGUAAUACGGAGGAUGCGAGCGUUAUCCGGAUUUAUUGGGUUUAAAGGGUGCGUAGGCGGGAUAGCAAGUCAGUGGUGAAAGCCUACAGCUUAACUGUAGAACUGCCAUUGAUACUGUUAUUCUUGAGUAUAGUUGAGGUAGGUGGAAUGUGUGGUGUAGCGGUGAAAUGCAUAGAGAUCACACAGAAUAUCGAUUGCGAAGGCAACUCACAAAGCCAUUAUUGACGCUGAUGCACGAAAGUGUGGGGAUCAAACAGGAUUAGAUACCCUGGUAGUCCACACCGUAAACGAUGAUAACUCGCUGUCGGCGAUAAACAGUCGGUAGCCAAGCGAAAGCGAUAAGUUAUCCACCUGGGGAGUACGACCGCAAGGUUGAAACUCAAAGGAAUUGACGGGGGCCCGCACAAGCGGAGGAACAUGUGGUUUAAUUCGAUGAUACGCGAGGAACCUUACCUGGGCUUAAAUGUAGAGCGACAGAUUGUGAAAGCAGUCCUUCUUCGGACGAUCUACAAGGUGCUGCAUGGUUGUCGUCAGCUCGUGCCGUGAGGUGUCGGGUUAAGUCCCAUAACGAGCGCAACCCUUGUCGUUAGUUACCAUCAAGUAAUGUUGGGGACUCUAGCGAGACUGCCACCGUAAGGUGUGAGGAAGGUGGGGAUGACGUCAAAUCAGCACGGCCCUUAUGUCCAGGGCUACACACGUGUUACAAUGGCAAGUACAAAGGGCAGCUACCAGGUGACUGGAUGCUAAUCUCUAAAGUUGGUCUCAGUUCGGAUCGAAGUCUGCAACCCGACUUCGUGAAGCUGGAUUCGCUAGUAAUCGCGCAUCAGCCAUGGCGCGGUGAAUACGUUCCCGGGCCUUGUACACACCGCCCGUCAAACAAUGGAAGCUGGGGGUACCUGAAGUCUGUAACCGCAAGGAGCGGCCUAGGGUAAAACUAGUAACUGGUGUUAAGUCGUAACAAGGUAACC
rnacentral:rRNA from 1 species